GUGGGGAAUUUUGGACAAUGGGCGCAAGCCUGAUCCAGCAAUGCCGCGUGCAGGAAGAAGGCCUUCGGGUUGUAAACUGCUUUUGUACGGAACGAAACGGUCCUGGUUAAUACCUGGGGCUAAUGACGGUACCGUAAGAAUAAGCACCGGCUAACUACGUGCCAGCAGCCGCGGUAAUACGUAGGGUGCAAGCGUUAAUCGGAAUUACUGGGCGUAAAGCGUGCGCAGGCGGUUUUGUAAGACAGGCGUGAAAUCCCCGGGCUCAACCUGGGAAUUGCGCUUGUGACUGCAAGGCUGGAGUGCGGCAGAGGGGGAUGGAAUUCCGCGUGUAGCAGUGAAAUGCGUAGAUAUGCGGAGGAACACCGAUGGCGAAGGCAAUCCCCUGGGCCUGCACUGACGCUCAUGCACGAAAGCGUGGGGAGCAAACAGGAUUAGAUACCCGGGUAGUCC
rnacentral:rRNA from 1 species